AUUGAACGCUGGCGGCAUGCUUUACACAUGCAAGUCGAACGGCAGCGCGGGGGCAACCCUGGCGGCGAGUGGCGAACGGGUGAGUAAUGUAUCGGAACGUAUCCUGUAAUGGGGGAUAACCAGUCGAAAGAUUGGGUAAUACCGCAUACGCACGAGAGUGGAAAGUAGGGGAUCGCAAGACCUUACGUUAUAGGAGCGGCCGAUAUCUGAUUAGCUAGUUGGUGGGGUAAAGCCUACCAAGGCGACGAUCAGUAGCUGGUCUGAGAGGACGACCAGCCACACUGGGACUGAGACACGGCCCAGACUCCUACGGGAGGCAGCAGUGGGGAAUUUUGGACAAUGGGCGAAAGCCUGAUCCAGCCAUGCCGCGUGCAGGAAGAAGGCCUCGGGUUGUAAACUGCUUUAGUCUAGGAAAAAGGGGUGCGAGGUUAAUACCCUCGUGCUUUGAUGGUACUGGAAGAAUAAGCACCGGCUAACUACGUGCCAGCAGCCGCGGUAAUCACG
rnacentral:rRNA from 1 species